AGGAAAGCCACAUACUCAAGCUCAUCUUCAGUUCAUGAAUCUAUCCAUCCAUGCCACUUGUGUUACAAAACUGCUUUACCUUUAGGUUUAAUCGUUCGUCAUUUUGUCUCUAGCUUAUCCUGAUAAUCUCGAAUGAGCUAUUCAGUGUAGCAAAAACCGAUGAAUCCAAAACAGAUAAACGGAAAAGCAACAUU
rnacentral:sRNA from 1 species